rnacentral:rRNA from 1 species
UCGCUAGUAAUCGCGGAUCAGAAUGCCGCGGUGAAUACGUUCCCGGGCCUUGUACACACCGCCCGUCACACCAUGGGAGUUGGCUUUACCCGAAGACGGUGCGCUAACCGCAAGGAGGCAGCCGGCCACGGUAAGGUCAGCGACUGGGGUGAAGUCGUAACAAGGUAGCCGUAGGGGAACCUGCGGCUGGAUCACCUCCUU